rnacentral:sRNA from 12 species
GACCUAACCCGACGAGUUUAUCUCGGCGGUAUGGUCCAAAACCGCGACGAACAUAGAGAACCCGUUAUCAGGGCGUUCGUCGCGUUGCCAGUGGAAACACUGGUAGAGGUUACCGCAAGGUGCCUU